UACAGAGGUCCCAAGCGUUGUUCGGAUUCACUGGGCGUAAAGGGUGCGUAGGCGGGUCCUUAAGUCAGGGGUGAAAUCCUGGAGCUCAACUCCAGAACUGCCUUUGAUACUGAAGAUCUUGAGUUCGGGAGAGGUGAGUGGAACUGCGAGUGUAGAGGUGAAAUUCGUAGAUAUUCGCAAGAACACCAGUGGCGAAGGCGGCUCACUGGCCCGAUACUGACGCUGAGGCACGAAAGCGUGGGGAGCAAACAGG
rnacentral:rRNA from 1 species